rnacentral:rRNA from 1 species
UACGGGGGGGGCAAGCGUUGUUCGGAAUUACUGGGCGUAAAGGGCUCGUAGGUGGCCAACUAAGUCAUACGUGAAAUCCCUCAGCUUAACUGGGGAACUGCGUCCGAUACUGGAUGGCUUGGAUUUGGGAGAGGGAUGCGGAAUUCCAGGUGUAGCGGUGAAAUGCGUAGAUAUCUGGAGGAACACCGGUGGCGAAGGCGGCAUCCUGGACCAACAUUGACGCUGAGGAGCGAAAGCUAGGGGAGCAAACGGG